rnacentral:rRNA from 1 species
CCUACGGGUGGCAGCAGUGAGGAAUAUUGGUCAAUGGGCGAGAGCCUGAACCAGCCAAGUCGCGUGAAGGAUGACGGCCCUACGGGUUGUAAACUUCUUUUGUCAGGGAGCAAUUGGCUCCACGCGUGGGCUUAGCGAGAGUACCUGAAGAAAAAGCCUCGGCUAACUCCGUGCCCGCAGCCGCGGUAAUACGGAGGAUGCGCGCGUUAUCCGGAUUUAUUGGGUUUAAAGGGUGCGUAGGCGGAAUAUCAAGUCAGCGGUAAAAAUUCGGGGCUAAACCCCGUCGUGCCGUUGAAACUGAUGUUCUGGAGUGGGCGAGAGGUAGGCGGAAUGCGUGGUGUAGCGGUGAAAUGCAUAGAGAUCACGCAGAACUCUGAUUGCGAAGGCAGCAUACCGGAGCACAACUGACGCUGAAGCACGAAAGCGUGGGUAUCGAACAGGAUUAGAUACCCCGGUAGUC